AACACAUGCAAGUCGAACGGACAAUUAUUUAUAGCCUCUGGCUAUAGGAAAUUGUUAGUGGCAGACGGGUGAGUAAUGCGUAGGAAUCUACCUAGUAGCACGGAAUAGCCAUUAGAAAUGGUGGGUAAUACUGUAUAAUCCCCGAGGGGGAAAGAUUUAUCGCUAUUAGAUGAGCCUACGUUAGAUUAGCUAGUUGGUGAGGUAAUGGCUUACCAAGGCUAUGAUCUAUAGCUGGUCUGAGAGGACGAUCAGCCACACUGGAACUGAGAUACGGUCCAGACUCCUACGGGAGGCAGCAGUGGGGAAUAUUGGACAAUGGGCGAAAGCCUGAUCCAGCUAUGCCGCGUGAGUGAAGAAGGC
rnacentral:rRNA from 1 species